AGCUCGUGCCGUGAGGUGUGGUUAAGUCCCGCAACGAGCGCAACCCUAUUUUAGUUGCCAUCAGGUUAAGCUGGGCACUCUAAAGAGACUGCCGUCGAUAAGGCGGAGGAAGGUGGGGACGACGUCAAGUCAUCAUGGCCCUUAUGUCUAGGGCUACACACGUGCUACAAUGGGUUAUACAGAGGGCAGCUAGCUCGCGAGAGUCUGCGAAUCCCUUAAAGUAAUCCUCAGUUCGGAUUGUAGUCUGCAACUCGACUACAUGAAGUUGGAAUCGCUAGUAAUCGCAGGUCAGCAAAACUGCGGUGAAUACGUUCCCGGGCCUU
rnacentral:rRNA from 1 species